rnacentral:rRNA from 1 species
GAUGAACGCUAGCGGCAGGCUUAAUACAUGCAAGUCGAGGGGUAACAGGUCUGUAGCAAUACAGAUGCUGACGACCGGCAAACGGGUGCGGAACACGUACAGAACCUUCCUUCGAGUGGGAGAUAGCCCAGGGAAACUAGGAGUAAUAUCCCAUAAGAUCAUAGAGUGGCAACACUUAGUCAUUACAGAUGUAUCGCUUGAAGAUGGCUGUGCGGCUGAUUAGGUAGUUGGUGUAGGUAACGGCUCACCAAGCCGUCGAGCAGUAACUGGUGUGAGAGCACGACCAGUCACACGGGCACUGAGACACGGGCCCGACUCCUACGGGAGGCAGCAGUAAGGAAUAUUGGGCAAUGGAGGCAACUCUGACCCAGCCAUGCCGCGUGGAGGAUGAAGGUCCUCUGGAUUGUAAACUUCUUUUAUUUGGGAAGAAAUGCCGAUUUUCUAAUUGGUUUGACGGUACCAGAUGAAUAAGCACCGGCUAACUCCGUGCCAGCAGCCGCAGUAAUAC